AUUAAGGUGGCAGAGCCGGUAAUUGCAUAAAACUUAAGCCUUUAUAACCAGAGGUUCAAGUCCUCUCCUUAAUA
rnacentral:tRNA from 1 species